rnacentral:rRNA from 1 species
AUUGAACGCUGGCGGCAGGCCUAAGACAUGCAAGUCGAACGGUAACGACACUAGCUUGCUAGUGGUCGACGAGUGGCGACGGGUGAGUAACGCGUAGGAAUCUACCUAGUAUGGGGGAUAGCCAAGGGAAACUUUGGGUAAUACCGCAUACGAUCUAAGGAUGAAAGGGGGCCUCUCUUUGAAGCUCUCGCUAUUAGAUGAGCCUGCGUAAGAUUAGCUUGUUGGUGGGGUAAUGGCCCACCAAGGCGACGAUCUUUAGCUGGUCUGAGAGGAUGAUCAGUCACACUGGAACUGAGACACGGUCCAGACUCCUACGGGAGGCAGCAGUCGGGAAUAUUGGACAAUGGGGGAAACCCUGAUCCAGCCAUGCCGCGUGUGUGAAGAAGGCCCUAGGGUUGUAAAGCACUUUUAGUAGUGAGGAAGGCUCAGUAGUUAAUACCUACUGGGAUUGACGUUAGCUACAGAAAAAGCACCGGCUAAUUUCGUG